rnacentral:lncRNA from 8 species
UUCCACGUUGAAAUGAUGUGGUGUGCCCAGUGUGUUGCCACUAUCCCCAAUGACAACACUGAGGUUUGUGACAUCCAAGAGACAUCAAAGCCAAAGCUGUCCAUAGUUGACACCCUUUCCUGCGCAGAAGUCAAAGCUGACCAGCCACAACCGACUUUCUGUCCCAUGGCAUCGAUGAAGUGGAGGAGGACAAACCACAUGAACUUCUGUGUUAAAACAAUAUUACGUGAGCAGAGCACUUUCUGACAAACCAGAGGUGGAUACGGCUGUGGAUCCCCUCACAAUGAGCAAAGAUAAGAAGUCUUGUAAGAGGGGUAUGAGUCACCUGCGGCUGUGUGGCCUCCAGACAGGAAAGAGAGAAAGAGGAGCAGAAUCCCACCAUUUCCCAUCCUUAAAAAAAAAAAAAAAAUCCUAUUAAUUCUAUUUUUGCUGUUGAUUGUUGAUCAUGAAUCAAGAAUUUAUUCUAUUAAUAGUUGUUUUGUUUAAAUAAAUUAUUGCAUUCCAAAGUUUGUCUUUUAGUUGUCAUUUUCCCCAAAAUAUAAGAGGUGGCUAGAGCUCAGAUAUGAGCAUGUGCACUCCAUGACAUCUGCUCAUUGGUGGACAUGAAAACACAACUGAACUUGAUCGCACAUGGCAACAACAUCCCCAUGGGGUUGUUCUGUCAUGAACACAUCCUAUCAACAGAUGGAGCCAUUGACCUAAACUCUGUGGUAGCUUUUAUUUACCCCUGAACU